UAAACUCCUGUUGUUGAGGAAGAUAAUGACGGUACUCAACAAGGAAGUGACGGCUAACUACGUGCCAGCAGCCGCGGUAAAACGUAGGUCACAAGCGUUGUCCGGAAUUACUGGGUGUAAAGGGAGCGCAGGCGGGAAGACAAGUUGGAAGUGAAAUCCAUGGGCUCAACCCAUGAACUGCUUUCAAAACUGUUUUUCUUGAGUAGUGCAGAGGUAGGCGGAAUUCCCGGUGUAGCGGUGGAAUGCGUAGAUAUCGGGAGGAACACCAGUGGCGAAGGCGGCCUACUGGGCACCAACUGACGCUGAGGCUCGAAAGUGUGGGUAGCAAACAGGAUUAGAUACCCUGGUAGUCCACACCGUAAACGAUGAUUACUAGGUGUUGGAGGAUUGACCCCUUCAGUGCCGCAGUUAACACAAUAAGUAAUCCACCUGGGGAGUACGACCGCAAGGUUGAAACUCAAAGGAAUUGACGGGGGCCCGCACAAGCAGUGGAGUAUGUGGUUUAAUUCGACGCAACGCGAAGAACCUUACCAAGUCUUGACAUCCCUUGACGAASAUAGAAAUAUGUUUUCUCUUCGGAGCAAGGAGACAGGUGGUGCAUGGUUGUCGUCAGCUCGUGUCGUGAGAUGUUGGGUUAAGUCCCGCAACGAGCGCAACCCUUAUGGUCAGUUACUACGCAAGAGGACUCUGGCCAGACUGCGNUUGACAAA
rnacentral:rRNA from 1 species